rnacentral:rRNA from 1 species
GACGAACGCUGGCGGCGUGCUUAACACAUGCAAGUCGAACGAUGAAGAAAAGAAUUGAAGCUUCGGCAGAAAUUCAUUUCGGAUUAGUGGCAGACGGGUGAGUAACGCGUGAGCAACCUACCUCUUACAAAGGGAUAGCCUCGGGAAACCGGGAUUAAUACCAUAUAACAUUGCGACGAAGCAUUUCGAUGCAAUCAAAGCUACGGCGGUAAGAGAUGGGCUCGCGUCCCAUUAACCAGAUGGUGAGGUAACGGCUCACCAUAGUAACGAUGGGUAACCGGGCUGAGAGGGUGAACGGUCACACUGGAACUGAGACACGGUCCAGACUCCUACGGGAGGCAGCAGUGGGGAAUAUUGCACAAUGGAGGGAACUCUGAUGCAGCGACGCCGCGUGAGUGAUGAAGGAAUUCGUUUCGUAAAACUCUGUUCUAUGGGAAGAAAAGGACUGUACCGUAGGAGAAAGCUCCGGCUAAAUACGUG